rnacentral:misc_RNA from 1 species
GUUCCUACUUCCUAUAUGAAAAUGGGUUGCUUUAAUAGACUAUUUUUUUUCUUUGUUAAAGGACAAACCCAAUGCCAGAGGCUCCCACACAAGUGGAGACAUGAAAGGGAUAAAUGGAGGCUCAUCCUUCCCUCCGGGGGCGGCCACACCCCAGCCGCGGCCCAGAUCCGCCGCCGGAGGCCCACCGCCACCAUGGCCUCUCCUUCCAAGUCGCGCCGACCACGACAGGCCACAUCCCAGCCGCCGCUGCUCGUGCUCCCCACCGUCGGCCGCUCGGGCUCACCUUCCCUGUCCACGGCACGGGCG